CGCCUCUUCGCUGCGUUCGAAGAGAGGGAGCGUGAAAGGGAGUUAUUGGGCCUAAGAAGAGGGGACCGAAGCCCGAGACAUUUCUGCUGAAGGCAAAGGCGAAAGCCACAGCAAAGACUUAUGAAUGCAGAAGAGAAAUGCCAAGGGGAUUCGUGUUUCAUACCCUGUUCCGACGCCUAUGAUUACACCGAGAGCUCGAGAGGGACUACGGGCUGUCGUGCCCACAAUCUUUCCCCCUAGC